GACGAACGCUGGCGGCGUGCCUAACACAUGCAAGUCGAACGGUAAGGCCCUUCGGGGUACACGAGUGGCGAACGGGUGAGUAACACGUGAGCAAUCUGCCCUUGACUCUGGGAUAACUGCGGGAAACUGUAGCUAAUACCGGAUACGACACCUUGGGGCAUCCCAGGGUGUGGAAAGAAUUUCGGUCAAGGAUGAGCUCGCGGCCUAUCAGCUAGUUGGGGAGGGAAUGGCUCACCAAGGCGACGACGGGUAGCCGGCCUGAGAGGGUGACCGGCCACACUGGAACUGAGACACGGUCCAGACUCCUACGGGAGGCAGCAGUGGGGAAUAUUGCACAAUGGGCGCAAGCCUGAUGCAGCAACGCCGCGUGAGGGAUGACGGCCUUCGGGUUGUAAACCUCUUUUAGUAGGGAAGAAGCGAAAGUGACGGUACCUGCAGAAAAAGCACCGGCUAACUACGUGCCAGCCGCCGCGGUAA
rnacentral:rRNA from 1 species